UACGGGGGGGGCAAGCGUUGUUCGGAAUUACUGGGCGUAAAGGGCGCGUAGGCGGCCUGCUAAGUUGGACGUGAAAUCCCUCGGCUCAACCGAGGAACUGCGUCCGAUACUGGUGGGCUUGAAUCCGGGAGAGGGAUGUGGAAUUCCAGGUGUAGCGGUGAAAUGCGUAGAUAUCUGGAGGAACACCGGUGGCGAAGGCGGCAUCCUGGACCGGUAUUGACGCUGAGGCGCGAAAGCUAGGGGAGCAAACGGG
rnacentral:rRNA from 1 species